CCUACGGGAGGCAGCAGUGGGGAAUAUUGCACAAUGGGGGAAACCCUGAUGCAGCGACGCCGCGUGAGUGAAGAAGUAUCUCGGUACGUAAAGCUCUAUCAGCCGGGAAGAAAAUGACGGUACCUGACUAAGACGCCCCGGCUAACUACGUGCCAGCAGCCGCGGUAAUACGUAGGGGGCAAGCGUUAUCCGGAUUUACUGGGUGUAAAGGGAGCGUAGGCGGCAGCACAAGUCUGGAGUGAAAUCCCGGGGCUUAACCCCGGAACGGCUGUGGAAACGGGGCGGCGGGAGUGCAGGAGGGGUAAGCGGAAUUCCUAGUGUAGCGGUGAAAUGCGUAGAUAUUGGGAGGAACACCGGUGGCGAAGGCGGCUUACUGGACUGUAACUGACGUUGAGGCUCGAAAGCGUGGGGAGCAAACAGGAUUAGAUACCCUUGUAGUC
rnacentral:rRNA from 1 species